GAUGAACGCUGGCGGCGUGCCUAAUACAUGCAAGUCGAGCGAACAGACGAGGAGCUUGCUCCUCUGACGUUAGCGGCGGACGGGUGAGUAACACGUGGAUAACCUACCUAUAAGACUGGGAUAACUUCGGGAAACCGGAGCUAAUACCGGAUAAUAUAUUGAACCGCAUGGUUCAAUAGUGAAAGACGGUUUUGCUGUCACUUAUAGAUGGAUCCGUGCCGCAUUAGCUAGUUGGUAAGGUAACGGCUUACCAAGGCAACGAUGCGUAGCCGACCUGAGAGGGUGAUAGGCCACACUGGAACUGAGACACGGUCCAGACUCCUACGGGAGGCAGCAGUAGGGAAUCUUCCGCAAUGGGCGAAAGCCUGACGGAGCAACGCCGCGUGAGUGAUGAAGGUCUUCGGAUCGUAAAACUCUGUUAUUAGGGAAGAACAAAUGUGUAAGUAACUAUGCACGUCUUGACGGUACCUAAUCAGAAAGCCACGGCUAACUACGUG
rnacentral:rRNA from 1 species